GAAAACCUAGAAACUACUGUUGGAUCCAAAAAUGGAUGCAUGAGAUUUGUCCAUGUCACCAAAAGUAAAAAUUUUACUCCCAUAUUUCAACAUGAGUAAAAGUUUCACUAGGAGUAAAAUUCUUACUCUUGGUGACAUGGACAAAUCUCGGGCGUUCACUUUUGAAGUCAAGGGUAGUUUUUAGGUUUCC
rnacentral:pre_miRNA from 1 species